GGAAGUGUGCCUGAACUAAAGGACCACUUUGAUAGAGUGGACUAUGAAAGUUAAAAUCUUUCCUCUUCCU
rnacentral:tRNA from 1 species